AUGUUUUGUUUGUUGCCUUUGUGCUUCUAUCUAUGAAUUUCAAGUUUUUCUCUUUAUUUAUUUUCUCUUUAUUUUUUUUACUAUGUCUUUUUGAUUCUGACAAAAAGGGGGAGAAAGUAAUUAUUAGCUCUGAUGAAAAUAUUGUCUAAAACCUUAAGCAUUCUGCAACAUUUUUUUAAUAUCUAACUUGGACUUAAGAAAUUGCAGAAAAUUUCAGAAACCUCUUUGCUUAAGAAACUCUGGUAAGAACUUCUG
rnacentral:lncRNA from 1 species